rnacentral:tRNA from 1 species
GGCGCUAUCGUCUAGUGGUUAGGACAUCACGCUUUCAAUGUGGUAACCGGAGUUCAAUUCUCCGUAGCGCUACAA